AAAGCCGCAGCCCCCUUUCGCUUGGCAGAGCCUUUACAGCGACACUUUUAAAACAAAGACAAUUGCACCCGGUAAUAACAGGUAUACAAUACUGAGCAAGUACAAAAGGAAACCAAUCAAGAUUAUACGGUAUUUGUACAAUACUCCCAAACAAGAAAACAGAACCUACAUGCUAACGUACAUAGCACCCAAAGUACUGUUCGACACGUUGAAGAAGUCAAAAUUAUUGUUCACAUAAGGUAUAUACAUAUUCGUAUAGCGCUACCAAUCCCUGCAAAAUAUAGAACGCAGAUUUUCAUUACACACACGCACGCACGCACGUGCACAGCACACACACCAAAAGGAAACGGCAACGCGCUCACAGGAAGCGCCUGAAAAACGAAAAAAAAAAGGAAAAGUGUGGGGAACCGAGGUCGUCUUGGGCUGUCGCCUCUCCCUCUCCCAGAAGGAAUGAAGAGGUUCUUGGAAAGCAGGGACGGGCGAUUCUCUCUGUCAGCAUCAGCUCCCACCAGCGAGGACGGGGCGAGAAAGCGAAACGGGACUUUCCUUGCUGUCUAUUUUUUCUUCGUCAGGCCAACGCCGCUUGCUUGCAGGGGCGCAGGCGAGUUCCCGCCAAAUGGCGCGGGUGCGUGAGUUGCCGCCAAAUGCUAGCUCUGGAUGCCAGCUCGUUCCGCGUCUCAUGGUAGACUAGUUGGUGCAUUUCUGUUAUCAUGGACUGCGCAUAUAAACGCAAGCUACACAAAAGUGACAUGUACAAGAACAGCGCAAGCCCUUUACAUGCAGUGGAGCCGCCGUAUCUCGCCGUUCAAGAUAUGCGUACUCGAAACACUGGAACGACACUGCUUAAAUUGAAGCACAGUGUGCGAAUGACCUGCUACGCUCGGAACUGUUAUCACCAUUCGGGAAGAAAUUGGAUGAAAAAACAUAACUGUAAAUACCUGUAUGAUAUACGUCUGGUGCAUUGCAGGUAAGAAUGGAUUGUGUGUGGCGCGCUUCACCGCAUGUGGACUAGAGUAGAUCUAGGAACAUCAGACAAGAAGACACGUAUGUGAAACCCUGCGGAUAGCCCAUAUGUGAACUUUUUUUCCAGAUACGGAGGAACGGACACCGGUCGUGCCGUGAGCACUAUUCUGCAGGGCAUACUUACAAAUGAAGCUGCACUGCAGUUCAGCUGGAAAGGGUCGCAGGGGAGGAAGCACGCCUUCGUGAAGCUCAUGGCCAUCACGAAUAUAACAUCUGUGAGGAGCACGUUCCCUGACGCUUCACUAGCAUCAGUGGCUGGAGUCGCAAAACGCCGGUUGGUUGGAGCAGCUGACAGGGAUGGAGGCCGGAAUGAAAGAAGGCGCCGUGACCCUGCUUCAAGCCCACCAAAUAUGAACUAGUGUUUGAAACUUGUGAACGUGUCGGUGUACAUAUACAAUUACAAGAAAUAAAGACCUGUAUCAGAA